CCGCGUGAGUGAAGAAGGCCUUCGGGUUGUAAAGCUCUUUUGUCAGGGAAGAAACGGUGAGGUCUAAUACAGCUUACUAAUGACGGUACCUGAAGAAUAAGCACCGGCUAACUACGUGCCAGCAGCCGCGGUAAUACGUAGGGUGCAAGCGUUAAUCGGAAUUACUGGGCGUAAAGCGUGGGCAGGUGGUUAUAUAAGUCAGAUGUGAAAUCCCUGGGCUCAACCUAGGAACUGCAUUUGAGACUGUAUGGCUAGAGUGUGUCAGAGGGGGGUAGAAUUCCACGUGUAGCAGUGAAAUGCGUAGAUAUGUGGAGGAAUACCGAUGGCGAAGGCAGCCCCCUGGGAUAACACUGACGCUCAUGCACGAAAGCGUGGGGAGCAAACAGGAUUAGAUACCCUGGUAGUCCACGCCCUAAACGAUGUCUACUAGUUGUUGGGUCUUAAUUGACUUAGUAACGCAGCUAACGCGUGAAGUAGGCCGCCUGGGGAGUACGGUCGCAAGAUUAAAACUCAAAGGAAUUGACGG
rnacentral:rRNA from 1 species